CAGUGAAUAGUUUAUUAAAAUAUUAAUUUUGGGGAUUAAUGAUAAAUCAGAUUGAUUUUUUACUGA
rnacentral:tRNA from 1 species